rnacentral:lncRNA from 1 species
UUUUUUGUUUUUUUUUUUAAUUCUACUUGUGUACUUGCCUAUUCCUCUCGCUCCCUGUUUUAAUUUAAUAUGGACAUGCAAUGCUAGAAAAUAGAAUUGCUUUCUACCAGCUAAACACGGGGAAGCCUGUGGAGGUUGUGACACUUCUUGUUGCACAUGGAUAUAUACAUCAGGUAUUAUGGAGACUCAGUUGUAAAAAUCAACAAAUGUGCUGCCUGGUUAAAAUGACUAGACUCUUCUGGCUUCUUCUUUGAUCUAUUCUAUUACAGUUGGUUUGCAUCUUGCCUAAGAUGCAUAGUCCAACCUCUUGAUAUUUUCGUCCUGAUAGUCAUACUGGUAGUCUUCCUCAUGUGGUGCAAACUACAAACAUUUUUAUUUGUGUGCAAAUAUUUGUGUGCAGCCAUCCUUCAAAUAUUAAAUUGUUUCUCUUGGGCUGGAAUUAAAAAACCGAAAGAAAUGUGUGGUUUAUGGGCCGAGUGCAGUGGCUCACAUCUGUAAUCCCAGCACUUUGGGAGGAAAAGGCAGGCAGAUCACAAGGUCAAGAAUUCGAGACCAGCCUCGUCAAUAUGGUGAAACCCUGUCUCUACUAAAAAUACAAAAAUUAUCUGGGUGUGGUGGUGUGCGCCUGUAGUCCUGUAGGGAGACCCCCUGAAACCAUUGCUAUGGAAUAAAAGAUGAAAUGCUCCUGAUUGUUGCAAAUACAAAACAUCAUGCAGGAUUGUGUAAAGAAAAUGUCAGGUUGGACUGCCAGAAUGAGCCAACAGCACGUGAUGUACUUCCCCUGCAGAGAGCCUAUAAAUGGACGUGUAGUCAGGGAGGUUUCACGUCACCAAGAUUCCCAUCCCAGAAAAGUAGAUGUUCAUAGCUCUGGGAAUGGAAUGCAACCCUUGCGGAGAGCCUAUUAAUGGACACAUGAGGGGUGCCUGUUCAUAUGGAUAGGAUAGGGUUAUAAACGCACUUAUCUUGCCACGGCUCUUCUAGGUCUCUUUAGGGUUUAGGCAUACUCCCUUCUCAGAAUUUUUUGGUUUAACCAGUUGUCUAGCUUCACAUCCUCUUUCUAUUGAUUGUUGCAACCAGCUUUUCCUGCAACUGUUACUGCUGAUUAAUAUCUUGCUAAUCAUAGGAUAUGGAUAGAUUGUGUUCCUGUUUUAAGGCUCUGUUAGAAAAUGCUGACGCACACACUAUGUUGUACAUUUUUAUCUCUGUAUACUGUACUUCUACAUACAGAUGUUUUGUUAAGAAUUACUUCAUCCCCAUGUGACCAUCUCACCUCAUAAUCAAACGACCCUAAAUCCCUCACUAACAUACCCUCGCCCUCACUAAACUUAAUAAUAAUUACAGACGAGCAAAUGCUGAGAGAUUUUGUCACCACCAGGCCUACCCUACAAGAGCCCCUGAAGGAAGCACUAAACUUGGAAAGGAACAACCAGCACCAGCCACUGCAAAAACAUGCCAAAAUGUAAAGACCGUCGAUGCUAGGAUGAAACUACAUCAACCAGCGAGCAAAAUAACCAUAUAACAUCACAAUGACAGGAUCAAGUUCACACAUAACAAUAUU